rnacentral:rRNA from 1 species
UACAGAGGUCUCAAGCGCUGUUCGGAUUCAUUGGGCGUAAAGGGUGCGUAGGUGGCGCUGUAAGUCGGGUGUGAAAUUUCGGAGCUUAACUCCGAAACUGCAUUCGAUACUGCGGUGCUUGAGGACUGGAGAGGAGACUGGAAUUCAUGGUGUAGCAGUGAAAUGCGUAGAGAUCAUGAGGAAGACCAGUGGCGAAGGCGGGUCUCUGGACAGUUCCUGACACUGAGGCACGAAGGCCAGGGGAGCAAACGGG